CUCCGGUUGAUCCCGCCGGACCCGACUGCUAUCGGAUUGAGAUUUAGCCAUGCGAGUCGAACGUCCCCCUGUUGCGGGGGGCGUGGCGUACGGCUCAGUAACACGUAGUCAACCUGCCCUGGAGACAAGGACAACCCCGGGAAACUGGGAUUAAUCCUUGAUAGGUCAUCUCAUCUGGAAGGAGAGAUGGCUUAAAGGGGUACGCGGGCUUCUUCCGCGAAUUCGCUCCAGGAUGGGACUGCGACCGAUCAGGCUGUUGGCGGGGUAAUGGCCCACCAAACCAGUAACCGGUACGGGCCUUGAGAGAGGUGGCCCGGAGAUGGACACUGAGAGAAGGGUCCAGGUCCUACGGGGCGCAGCAGGCGCGAAACCUUCGCAAUGCGCGAAAGCGUGACGAGGUUAAUCCGAGUGACUCCCGCUGAGGGGGUCUUUUGUCAGCUGUAAAUAGGCAGGCGAAUAAGGGGAGGGCAAGCCUGGUGUCAGCCGCCGCGGUAAUACCAGCUCCUCGAGUGGUCGGGGCGAUUAUUGGGCCUAAAGCAUCCGUAGCCGGUUCCGUAGGUCCUCUGUUAAAUCCAACCGCUUAACGGUUGACCUGCAGAGGAUACCGCGGGACUAGGAGGCGGGAGAGGCGGACGGUACUCCGCGUGUAGGGGUAAAAUCCUUUGAUCCGCGGAAGACCACCAGUGGCGAAGGCGGUCCGCCAGAACGCGCUCGACGGUGAGGGAUGAAAGCUGGGGGAGCGAACCGGAUUAGAUACCCGGGUAGUCCCAGCCGUAAACGAUGCUAGCUAGAUGAUUCAUUCGCAAGUCGCGAAUGAAGUGUCGCAGGGAAGCCGUUAAGCUAGCCGCCUGGGGAGUACGGUCGCAAGACUGAAACUUAAAGGAAUUGGCGGGGGAGCA
rnacentral:rRNA from 1 species